rnacentral:rRNA from 1 species
AGCGAACGCUGGCGGCAGGCUUAACACAUGCAAGUCGAACGCCCCGCAAGGGGAGUGGCAGACGGGUGAGUAACGCGUGGGAAUCUACCCAGAACUUCGGAACAACUGAGGGAAACUUCAGCUAAUACCGGAUACGCCCUACGGGGAAAAGAUUUAUCGGUUCUGGAUGAGCCCGCGUUGGAUUAGCUAGUUGGUGAGGUAAAGGCUCACCAAGGCGACGAUCCAUAGCUGGUCUGAGAGGAUGAUCAGCCACACUGGGACUGAGACACGGCCCAGACUCCUACGGGAGGCAGCAGUGGGGAAUAUUGGACAAUGGGCGAAAGCUUGAUCCAGCCAUGCCGCGUGAGUGAUGGAGGCCUUAGGGUUGUAAAGCUCUUUCAGUGGGGAAGAUAAUGACGGUACCCACAGAAGAAGCCCCGGCUAACUUCGUGCCAGCCGCCGCCGUAACAC